AUGUUCUUGGAGAUCGAGGCCACCCAGAUGAGCCUGGAUCCUGAGCUAGAGCUGCCCAGCCCACUGUGCGGGGCGCUGCCCGGCGAGAUGCCCUCCAAGCCGGCCAAGGCGGGAGACUGCAGGGAAGAGGAGCUGUCUCUGGAGCGGGGAGACCAAGAGGGGAGAACAGCGUCUUAUCUUGAAGCCGUGGGCCCCGAGGAGACAAGAAGAGACACGGAAAGCCCAGCCCUGACGGCGGCCUUGGUGCCGGUGCAAAACCAACUGGCCCCAAUGAGGCGGAGGACCUGGAAGCAGCUCCAUCCCAUCCCCCAGCCCGCCCCGGACCACAGGGCCUCGCCCCAGCCUCCACUCCUAGGCCUACUGCUUCUGUUCCUGAUGCUGCUGUCCUUGCUGCUCCUCUCGCUGCCCGGGCUCCCGGCCCCGGGCCCCCCCAGGAGGCCGGCCUGGCCCCACCUGCAGCUGCACUACCUGCAGCCGCCCCCGGUGUGAGCUGGCCCGUGAGGGGCCAGGGACGGGGUCCCCCGUGGCUCCGGCUGGAAUAAAACCUGGUUGAACUCGAGUCUGGGCCGAGCUGCUGGGACGCCUGCUCUGCGGGACGGUCGCUCCUGCGGUGACUACGCGGUUCCUCUUCAGCCCAAGCGCGCUGGUGGCGGCUCUGUCGUUACCUCAGAAUUCACGCUCGGUUCGCCCAAAAGGAGAACCUUGCGCCGGGCCUGGGGCGAAACGCUGCUUAGGAAAUGGGGACCCUUCUUCCGACCGCAUUCGCCUCCCCGGAGAGGGCGUCGUGCCAAGAUAAUAAUAAUCGGAAUAUUUGUUAAGCACUUACUAUGUGCCAGGCACUGUACUAAGCGCUGGGGUGGAUACAAGAAAACCGGGUUGGACACAGUCCCUGUCCAUUGUGGGGCUCACAUUCACAGUCCCCAUUUUACAGAUGAGGUAACUGAGGCCCAGAGAAGGCAGGCGACUUGCCCAAGGUCACACAGCUGACAGGCGGUGGAGGUAGGAUUAGAACCCAUGAUCUGACUCCCAGACACAUGCUUCAUCCGCUGCACCAUGCUGCUUCUUAGCAGGCUGCCGUGUCCUAAGCGGGUGUGGUGGGAAAAUCGGGAGAGAAGCACAGACCCUGAUGUGCGUUUUCCUUCAUGCCGGGUCUGUCCGGAAGGAAACCCCCUCCCCGGCGUGGUAGGAGAACUGCUCCUGUGGAGGGCCUAUGAAAGCCCUGUGCGCUCAUGGGAUUUUCCUGAGGACACAAUAGCUGCCCUUGAGGGGCUUACAAACCAACAUUUUGGGCUUCUCCCCAGGCAGCUCCCUGAACAGCUGGAGGGGCCCAAAGCUAGCCCCUCUCCCUAAGACCACACAGCUUGGUAUAGGGAAGCAGUGUGGCCUAGUGGAUAGAGCCCGGGCAGGACCUGGGCUCUAAUCUCGACUCUACCACUUGUCUGCUGUGUGACCCUGGGCAAGUCACUUCACUUCUCUGGGCCUCAGCUACCUCAUCUGUAAAAGGGGGAUUGAGAAUGUGAAUCCCACAUGGGACAGGGACUGGGUCCAACCCGAUUUGCUUGUCUCUACCCUGUGCUUAAUGCAGUGCCUGG
rnacentral:lncRNA from 1 species